UACGUAGGGGGCAAGCGUUGUCCGGAUUUAUUGGGCGUAAAGAGCGCGUAGGCGGUCCGAUAAGUCGGCUGUGAAAGUCAGGGGCUCAACUCUUGAAAGCCGGCCGAUACUGUCGGACUAGAGUCCGGAAGAGGAGAGUGGAAUUCAUGGUGUAGCAGUGAAAUGCGUAGAGAUCAUGAGGAAGACCAGUGGCGAAGGCGGGUGUCUGGACAGUUCCUGACGCUGAGGCGCGAAGGCCAGGGGAGCAAACGGG
rnacentral:rRNA from 1 species